UACGUAGGGGGCAAGCGUUGUCCGGAAUUAUUGGGCGUAAAGAGCUCGUAGGCGGUUCGUCGCGUCGGCUGUGAAAACCCGGAGCUCAACUCCGGGCCUGCAGUCGAUACGGGCGGACUAGAGUUCGGCAGGGGAGACUGGAAUUCCUGGUGUAGCGGUGAAAUGCGCAGAUAUCAGGAGGAACACCGGUGGCGAAGGCGGGUCUCUGGACCGUAACUGACGCUGAGGAGCGAAAGCGUGGGGAGCGAACAGG
rnacentral:rRNA from 1 species